AGCUAAACUGACCAGUGAACCAAAGGAAAGGCACACUGAGCAUUCAGAUGACUCAUUACAAUCAUUUUAAUGCCAAUGAGCUGGAUGCAGGCUGACAAGACCACAAGAUGCCCAGAGCAAGUGCAUGACCAUUGCUCUUGUGACAGGAACAACAUUUUUUUGUUGUUGUUGUGUAAGUUAGCAAUCAGUUUAAAUAAGCGUACCCUAGCCAAAGUAAAAACUAGGUUGCUGAAUGAGAGAAUUGUGACUGUUCUUGAAUACAUUAUUCUCUGUGUAUUCUCACUGGAGGGAUUUGCUUGCUUCUUAAAUGAAUCUGUAAUCAAGAUGUUACACUUAACAGACAGAAAGCAGGUUGCCAUGCAAUCCAUACAGGCGCCUAAAUAUAAACCAAUUAGUGUUUGGAAGGGAUUGAUGAUGAAUGAAGAAUAAAAUGGAUGCAGACAUGUUGAAAGAUGCCAAUAAAAAUAGAUAAAUGUUGUAGUUUUUAUGAAAAUAUUUUUAAGGACUAACUGUAUGAUUGAUAUAAACAUGGCUUUAUUUUUAAGUGCAGCUUGCAGCUUUUCAUUUCUUAUUUAGGCAGCGAGUCAGAUAUCAAUUAAAUUACUAAAGUUGUUUAUAAAAAGGUGUAUACAAUAUAAAGACUAAAUUGAAACUAAAUAAUGAAUGAAAAAAGUAUAUUUUGGUCGUGGGGUGGUUGCCAUGGUGUUGCUAUGCAGGUGCUAUAGGCUGCUCGAUCUGGGUGAUCCCUAGAGUGUUUGCUAAUGCCGAGUUCAGACUGCAAAAUUUUAGCCCGAAAAUUGCCGACAAAUGCCCGAAAUCACAGGCAAAUCCGUGCUCGUGCACGCGAGUGACAAUCACACAGUGUGAAUUAUCAAAAACGCGAUCUGAGAGAAUCGCCGAUGAGUCCCCGACACGCAAUUCAAAAUCAUGCCGUGUGAAAUGUGUUUUGACUGAAAAUAACAUCGGCGAUGACCUACAGCCAAUGAGAGAGCAACAUACAGGGCAGCUGGAAGUUCAGGGAGGAGUUAUGAAGUUAGAGCCCAUAAUAUCAGCAAGCAUGGAUUUGGUUCAUUUUUGUUUUCACUACAAAUAAGUGCACAUGCAGUUAUGGCAAGCUUUUUGCGGGCUACCAUUUUUAAUAAUAAUCCGCAGUGUCACGUUAGAACUCCGGUCUCGCACGCGCGACCUCGCGUUGUUUCCUUGUCACUUCUCGCCAAACUUUGCGUUAGGGUUUUCCACAAAUCGCUGACCAAAUAGUGAUGCUUGCCUACUUUAACAAUCAAAAGUCAUAGCCUUUUUUUACUGUAAGCCAUUUACAUCCAUGUAGCAAAUCUGUGCAUUAAUAUGAAAUAUGGUGCUGUAUUUUAACAUGGUACAAUACAUUUAAAAAUGUUAAAGAAUGCAUUUAAAUAAUCUGUUAAAUUGUUCUCUGAUAUCUACAUAAAGGUGUGUGGCUUUAUUAAGUGCAAAAAUGAUAGUCAGUUUUACAUGUCCAUUUACAACCCUAUGAUUUGCAUUUAGAAUGAAAUGGUCUAUUAUUACCUUAUUUGAAAGGGUCAUGAAUAAUAAUGUUGAGCUCUGCUCUGAUUGGCUGUUUUACAAGCAGGUCCUUCAGUCGCUUUGUGUGUGUGUGUAAACAGACCUUAUAUCAGACGAAGAUACAGAAUUUGAGGAAUAAUCAAUUGUUUGGAGAUUGUUAAUGGACAUUUCUGAGUGGAUGCUUUUACCAGAGGACUUAGCUGGUGGUACUCUUUCAAAAAGAGUUCAUAGUACCUUAGAGGAUCUGUCCCGGUGCUGAAAUCCUCUCCACUCGUGGGACAGUAACAGAUGGAGAGAUGAAAGCGAUGGAGAGGGUGGAGCACCGUCAGAUUUACGAGUGGAUAAGUGCAUAUGUGUCACCCUUCAUGUGCGCGGAUACGCGGAGUCCUUUCAGAGAGUCGUGAGACCACCAGUGGAGCAGAUCACGUUCAUUUAAAGGACGUGAUCGUGCCAGAAACAGUUCAUAUGGAACGCUCUGGAAGAAGCAGUCAGUGCAUACCAUCAAUCAAUCCAAACAUGGAGUAUGUGCACUGAAGCACCACUGCCAACUUGAUGUGUGUUAUGAUUCAUUAAACCUGGAGCUGGACCUUAUAUCAUGGAUUCGAAACAUUGAAUUCCUGAGAGAUUUACAGGAGACCAAAUCUCCUCCUUGUUCUCGGAAGCAGCAGUUUUUAUUCCACCUAAUCAGAGCCGAAACCAUUGUGCACCCUUAGCUGGUCUUUCUGCAGAAGCUUCUCCAUUCCACCAUAAUGCCUUUAAAAACUGAAAAAAGUGCUCCAACAGCAAAUGAAUGAUGGGAGAGGAAGGAAUGGAGCAGGAACAGCCAAAAUAAUAAUAACUCCCCCCUGCUCUGGAUUAACUUGUCAGACAUUCUCUUUCCUUCUGAGUCGCUCCAUCUUAUGAAAGAUCUGCCAACCUCUUGAUGCUUUGAAGUUAUGUCUGUUUUCCAAACUGUCAGAGCACAUCCCACCCUGCUUUGGCUCUUGUCUGCGCUCGGUGGGCCAAAAUCUGUGCGGCCUCAUUAUAGUGAAAUGGUCGAUAAUCACAGCAGCGUGAGCGCAGGGAAAUAAAACCAGGAAGCGAAUCGUGAUCCUGCUCUGUGGGCUGACAUGACUCUGUCCAAUGUUCCUGGCCAGCUAGAGACUACCAGAAUGAAAGACAAAGGUACAGUAUGUUGUCAUCCCAAACAUAUUUUCUUUACUCGCUGCCACCAUCUUUCCAUCUGGAGAGCACGCAGUAAUCAUGAAGGAAAUGAAAACCUUACUCAGGAGUGCCAUUAUUCACUGAUGUCAAACACGGCGAGGGGACGAUCUGACAGUUUGCCAGUUUUUAUAUCUGUUAAACAUCUGCUCCAGCAUAGCAAAUUAACUUUCUCAGAUGAUGUUUUUUUGUAUAAUUAAGCAUGAAAAAAUGUUAUCAGGUUGUUUUGUGUGACAAGAUUCCACAGCUGCCCUGAGCAUCCUCGCAGACAUUUUUAAGGUGGAUGUUUGCCUUGAAUAAGAGUUAAUGCUCUCAGCAGCAGCGAGUGAUUUUGUGAUUUACAGGAGGCCUGACCAGUUAAACAGGUUUGAAGGAUGAGGCUUCUGGGAGUGACUCAAAAUAAAAAAGGUCACUGAAACACAAGAGCAGGAGUUUUCAAACUGGGGUCCGGGGUUGCUUUGCCCCUGUGACGUGAUCAUUGUACGUUUAUGUAUGACUCACUUUGUACAAAUUCAUAUGAAUUAGCUUGUAAAAUAUGUACAAAUUCCAUACCUGUCAACCCUUCUGUUUUUUUCCGGGAAUCUCCUGUAUUUUACCAUUCUAUUCCGCUAUCAUCCCUUUUAAAUAUUUUCUCAUAUUU